rnacentral:rRNA from 1 species
GACGAACGCUGGCGGCGUGCUUAACACAUGCAAGUCGAACGGAAAGGCCCUGCUUUUGUGGGGUGCUCGAGUGGCGAACGGGUGAGUAACACGUGAGUAACCUGCCCUUGACUUUGGGAUAACUUCAGGAAACUGGGGCUAAUACCGGAUAGGAGCUCCUGCUGCAUGGUGGGGGUUGGAAAGUUUCGGCGGUUGGGGAUGGACUCGCGGCUUAUCAGCUUGUUGGUGGGGUAGUGGCUUACCAAGGCUUUGACGGGUAGCCGGCCUGAGAGGGUGACCGGCCACAUUGGGACUGAGAUACGGCCCAGACUCCUACGGGAGGCAGCAGUGGGGAAUAUUGCACAAUGGGCGGAAGCCUGAUGCAGCAACGCCGCGUGCGGGAUGACGGCCUUCGGGUUGUAAACCGCUUUCGCCUGUGACGAAGCGUGAGUGACGGUAAUGGGUAAAGAAGCACCGGCUAACUACGUGCCAGCAGCCGCGGUGAUACGUAGGGUGCGAGCGUUGUCCGGAUUUAUUGGGCGUAAAGGGCUCGUAGGUGGUUGAUCGCGUCGGAAGUGUAAUCUUGGGGCUUAACCCUGAGCGUGCUUUCGAUACGGGUUGACUUGAGGAAGGUAGGGGAGAAUGGAAUUCCUGGUGGAGCGGUGGAAUGCGCAGAUAUCAGGAGGAACACCAGUGGCGAAGGCGGUUCUCUGGGCCUUUCCUGACGCUGAGGAGCGAAAGCGUGGGGAGCGAACAGGCUUAGAUACCCUGGUAGUCCACGCUGUAAACGGUGGGUACUAGGUGUGGGGUCCAUUCCACGGGUUCCGUGCCGUAGCUAACGCUUUAAGUACCCCGCCUGGGGAGUACGGCCGCAAGGCUAAAACUCAAAGGAAUUGACGGGGCCCCGCACAAGCGGCGGAGCAUGCGGAUUAAUUCGAUGCAACGCGUAGAACCUUACCUGGGUUUGACAUGGAUCGGGAGCGCUCAGAGAUGGGUGUGCCUCUUUUGGGGUCGGUUCACAGGUGGUGCAUGGCUGUCGUCAGCCCGUGUCGUGAGAUGUUGGGUUAAGUCCCGCAACGAGCGCAACCCUUGUUCACUGUUGCCAGCACGUUAUGGUGGGGACUCAGUGGAGACCGCCGGGGUCAACUCGGAGGAAGGUGGGGAUGACGUCAAGUCAUCAUGCCCCUUAUGUCCAGGGCUUCACGCAUGCUACAAUGGCUGGUACAGAGAGUGGCGAGCCUGUGAGGGUGAGCGAAUCUCGGAAAGCCGGUCUCAGUUCGGAUUGGGGUCUGCAACUCGACCUCAUGAAGUCGGAGUCGCUAGUAAUCGCAGAUCAGCAACGCUGCGGUGAAUACGCUCCCGGG